rnacentral:lncRNA from 1 species
CAUCAGGAAUGAAGACCCCUCCUCUUGCGACCUAUUCACUCUGAUGCUGCCGAUCACUCUCAUUCAUCAGCUACAGUAGGAUCGAUGCACGCUAUAUGGAUGAAGACAUAUGCAGCCAUUGUGAAAUGUAGAGAUAGAUCGGGAGACCAACAUCGUGGUACACGGUUUCUUAUCCAACAACUAGAUUUGUGUUGGGAUGAGCAGUGGCAAAGAACAUGUGAAUUGGCCUUUGUUUGGACCAUGAACAUAGCGUCUGGCUUCUGCAGAGGGUGAGAAUUUAUACAUUUUUAAGUUUGAUUAACUAUACUUGGAAAUUGACAUGUGCAGU